rnacentral:rRNA from 1 species
AUUUGAAAGCUGGCCUUCGGGUCCGCAUUGUAAUUUGUAGAGGAUGCUUUGGGUGAAACGCCAGUCUAAGUUCCUUGGAACAGGACGUCAUAGAGGGUGAGAAUCCCGUAUGUGACUGGAAAUGUUAACCUAUGUAAAGCUCCUUCGACGAGUCGAGUUGUUUGGGAAUGCAGCUCUAAAUGGGAGGUAAAUUUCUUCUAAAGCUAAAUAUUGGCGAGAGACCGAUAGCGCACAAGUAGAGUGAUCGAAAGAUGAAAAGCACUUUGGAAAGAGAGUUAAAAAGCACGUGAAAUUGUUGAAAGGGAAGCGCUUGCAAUCAGACUUGUUUAAACUGUUCGGCCGGUCUUCUGACCGGUUUACUCAGUUUGGACAGGCCAGCAUCAGUUUCGGCGGCCGGAUAAAGGCUCUGGGAAUGUGGCCUUCACUUCGGUGAAGGUGUUAUAGCCCAGGGUGUAAUACGGCCAGCCGGGACUGAGGUCCGCGCUUCGGCUAGGAUGCUGGCGUAAUGGUUGUAAGCGACCCGUCUGAAAACCCGG